UGCCCGGGUGUGGAAACCAAGAUAUUAUCAUGAGAAAAAUUAAACUGACCAGUGGCGGCCUUCAUGUACAGUCACUGCACGGACAGAAGACAGUGGUUAAUUGGGUGCUUUUUGUUGGUUUCCGAGCCCCGACGUAAUGAAUAAUAGGGACAAUCGGGUGCAACAGUAUUCAAUUGUCAGAGGUGAAAUUCUUGGAUCUAUUGAGGACUAACUACAACGAAAGCAUUUGCCUAGGAUGUUUUCAUUGAUAAGGAACGAAAGAUAGGGGAUCGGAGACGAGCAGAUACCGUCGUAGUCUUAACUAUAGACGAGGCCGACUAGGGAUCGGAUGAUGUUAUUCUUUGACGCGUUCUGCACCUUUCGAGAAAUCAAAGUGCUUGGUCCUCAGGGGGGGUAUGGCCGAACGUCUGAUACUUCAAGUAAUUGACUGAAGUGCUUCACCAUGGGUGGACCCUGCGGCGUAAUUUGACUCAUCCCGGGGGUUCUCACAGUAUCUAGACCCAGUGAGGAUUGACAUUACGAUGGGUCCGGCCUGAUUCGACGGGAUGGUUU
rnacentral:rRNA from 1 species